UAUUCUGAAAUACUGUGGGAGUGAUUUGAAUAUCAAAGUACUAAUUGUGAGGACUCUACGCUAUUCCGAAAAUACGCAACACCCCACCCUAUCUACCAAGAUGGGGCACGGUAGCCCACACCCUUAAUCCCCGGAACUUCGGAGGCAGAGGCAGGCAGAUCAUUGUGAGCUCAAGGCCACAGAGUAAGUUCCAGGACUGUCCCUGCUGUUCUAUAGAGAAACCAAAACCUUUCUUGAAAGCCAGCAGUCAUUCUGUUGUGUUUGUAUCCAUUUUCUCAGGAAAGUAACUGCCUAUUGUGCUAAAUUAAGCUUUUGGUUAUUACUUACUGUCACCAACAAAAGGUCUCUCCUCAGGAACCUCUUCUCUUUUUGAAUAGAAGAGAAAAUGUAUCAUCUGGAUGGCUAAAUGUUUCUUUCACAGCCUGUGAGAAGCCAGGCUAGGGGAAAAGGACUGUAACCCCCAGGUUCAGGAGGCAGAGGUGCGUUCCACCAUGCAAGUUUUCCACACGUAAGGGAUGAAAGCCAUCAUGCAUGCUAAGCAAGCACUCUGCUGACUGAGCCCCACGGUGAACCUCCCCAAGAAAGUUUUCUCUGAAGUGGUGAGGAAAAUGUCCAUCCAACCUCACUAGUACAUUGUACAGGAUAUUUGAUGGCUGUAUUGAGAGAACCUAAUCGUUGGCGAAAUAUACAAGCUUAAAUGUUGUGUUGAAAAAUGCAGUCAGGUGUGUUCUGAAAAGAAGCAGUUUGGGUGUGCCUCUAAAAGCCUCUGUAGGAGGAGGAGGAGGAGGAGAAAAGAAGAGGAGGAGGAGGAGAAAAGAAGGAGGAGGAGGGAAGGAAGGAAGGAAGGAAAGAAAGAAAGAAAGAAAGAAAGAAAGAAAGAAAGAAAAAAAGAAAGAAGGAAAGAAAGAAAGAAAGAAAGAAAGGAAGGAAGGAAGGAAGGAAGGAAGGAAGGAAGGAAGAAAGGAAGAAAGAAAGAAAAGUUCCUAUUUUAAAGCAAGUUGGUUGGGAGAGAUCUUGAGGUCUUCGAUGUACGAUCCAAAGCAAAGUCCUCUGGAUGACCUUGAGCUACCCCACUGUAAAGGUGAAAUGGUUUGGUCCUAAUGACUGGACUUGAAGUGCUGCCCCCCCCCACUGUGACGUGCAUGGUUCAGCCUACCAAGUGUAGGUGAGGAACUAGAGACUUCUAUAAGCAAAGGACCUUUGAUAGGCUCUCUUCAAAUUUGGAAGAGCCUUCUGGAAGGAGCUUCUGGUGAGAGAUAGGGCUUGCAGGAACAACAGAGAAGCAGUUGCUGGAACACAGGUAAUCAGUAUUCUAGGAAAGGGAGUUAAGGAGCCCUCUUGGGUUUGGAGAAGCUCAAGAGAAAGGUAGACUAGCUCGGUAGAAUGGCAGAGAUUUCUAAAGUCCUAGCAGGUUAGUUAUAGAAUCGGGCUUGUAAAUAGAUAUUUUGUAUACAGUUAAGAAAAAUAAAGUUACCUCACCGAGUUAACUAGUUUUAAACUCAGUUUAUACCUCUCAUGUCUUUAUUGGUAUAAAUAUUAGAUAACUUGGUUACAGUAUGUUGGGCUUGCCUACUGAAAUACAGACUUGGUUUGUAGCUUGCAAGGUAGAUGUUUAAGAGGAGGUAAAUUAUUCCAUUUCUUCCGUAUAAUAAAACACAUGAGUAUGGGUACUGAAUGAAGAAAAGAAUAUUGUUUAGCUUACAGUUUUUGGCAAAAAUUCCAAGUAAAUAGCUUGAUCUGUUCAGUUUCUGGUAAGCAUUCUGGCUAUAUCUCAUCGAAGACACAGAAGAACAGCUAGCUAUAUGCAAAAGACACCAAGUUCUGAGAAGGCUAGGCUGAUUUCAUGAGAGGCUUCAAAUUGGCAGUUAAGGUGCCUAAAACUCUGUUCCCAAGAACCGGGCAAUUACAGGCAAGCCCAGGCCUCGGAAGCUGCCCCACCACCAGGCCUGAAGCAGGACAAUGGGUCAGCAGCAGUUUCCAGACUUCCUUAGGUACUUCCUCAGCAACAGUUUCCAGACCUCCCCCAAAAGUUCCCAACCCCCACAACCCAGUAAUGAAAGGUCCCUAGAGAUGGACCCAACAGAUUAACAUAGAGGUCACCUACCCCGGAACUCCCUAGUGUGCUUUAAAUGAGGCCUGUGAGCUCACUUGGAUGUCUCUCUAUUCUGGUAAUGGGAGACCCCAGUAUGCUGGACUUCUGCAGAAUAAACCACUCUUUGUGUAUACAUACUA